UCCGCAGACUAAAUCUGAAAGA
rnacentral:snRNA from 1 species